rnacentral:rRNA from 1 species
GACAGAGGAUGCAAGCGUUAUCCGGAAUUAUUGGGCGUAAAGCGUCUGUAGGUGGCUUUUUAAGUCUGCCGUCAAAUCCCAGGGCUUAACCUUGGACAGGCGGUGGAAACUACCAAGCUGGAGUACGGUAGGGGCAGAGGGAAUUUCCGGUGGAGCGGUGAAAUGCGUAGAGAUCCGGAGGAAGACCGGUGGCGAAGGCGGCCUGCUGGGCAGUUACUGACACUGAUGCGCGACAGCGUGGGGAGCAAACAGG